rnacentral:rRNA from 1 species
AGUGAACGCUGGCGGUAGGCCUAACACAUGCAAGUCGAACGGCAGCACAGUAAGAGCUUGCUCUUACGGGUGGCGAGUGGCGGACGGGUGAGGAAUACAUCGGAAUCUACUUUUUCGUGGGGGAGAACGUAGGGAAACUUACGCUAAUACCGCAUACGACCUACGGGUGAAAGCAGGGGAUCUUCGGACCUUGCGCGAUUGUAUGAGCCGAUGUCGGAUUAGCUAGUUGGCGGGGUAAAGGCCCACCAAGGCGACGAUCCGUAGCUGGUCUGAGAGGAUGAUCAGCCACACUGGAACUGAGACACGGUCCAGACUCCUACGGGAGGCAGCAGUGGGGAAUAUUGGACAAUGGGCGCAAGCCUGAUCCAGCCAUACCGCGUGGGUGAAGAAGGCCUUCGGGUUGUAAAGCCCUUUUGUUUGGAAAGAAAAGCAGCAGGUUAAUACCCCGCUGUUCUGACGGUACCCAAAGAAUAAGCACCGGCUAACUUCGUG